rnacentral:rRNA from 1 species
UACGAAGGGUGCAAGCGUUACUCGGAAUUACUGGGCGUAAAGCGUGCGUAGGUGGUGAGUUAAGUCUGAUGUGAAAUCCCCGGGCUCAACCUGGGAAUGGCAUUGGAUACUGGCUCGCUAGAGUGCGGUAGAGGGUGGUGGAAUUCCCGGUGUAGCAGUGAAAUGCGUAGAGAUCGGGAGGAACAUCUGUGGCGAAGGCGGCCAUCUGGACCAGCACUGACACUGAGGCACGAAAGCGUGGGGAGCAAACAGG